GAUAGUCCCAUCAUCCUAGGUGAGCGCAGACGUGAGCCAGCCUGAAGAAACGGCAGCCAUAGCCUCAGGAAUAAACCGCAAUAUCCCUAAUGAUCCAAAAAGAUCUGCAGGAUUUCUCAGGCCUGCCUACACAUCGUAGCGCCCUUGCCAGAACGGUGGUGCAGUGAUGUAUUACCUGCCAACAGCACAAUGUGAGGCAGGGUCCAGCCGUUCUGCCCAGCAUACAACUUGAGGGAGCAGCCCCUUUUGAAGACCUCCAGGUGGACUUCACAGGAAUGCCAAAGUGUGGAGUGAUCAUGUGUGGAUCAAGGACUGGAAUGUAGCCCACCCACAACUACGGUGGGAAGGACCCCAGACCAUCAUUUUGACGACUCUCACAGCAUGAAAAUAGAAGGAUUCCCAGCCUGGAUCAAUCACAGUCAUGUAUCAUCUACAUUGUCUGAGACCUGAGAGGUGAGACUGAGCCUGGUGGACCCCUGCAAAGUGACAUUGAGAAAGAUGGCAAGCCCUGCUACAGUCACAACCAGAAGCUUACUGUUGUAUGCAUGGCAAAAGAAUGAGGAUACUCAUCAUGGGAUUUAUUCUCCUUAAAAUUUGUACUUCUAUAAUAAAGACUGAUUUUUCCUGCA
rnacentral:lncRNA from 1 species